CUUCAGGCUUCAUGUGUGGAGAGGGAAGGGAAAGAAUUUCCUUCCAAUGAACUUCCCGCCUAAAUCUGGUGCACUGUACAAGAGGCUGCAUCACCUUCCUGGGAGAUAAGAAUAAACAACAAGCAAAAUUAUUGGCCAGAUCUGACAAAAGAAAAGGAGGAAAAACACUGAGGAUAUGAAGCAUUAUCAGUGGGGCUGGAUUGCUUGGACCGGCUGCUUCACUUCAAGGCAAGCGGCUUCUACAGAAGACCAGUGAAAGGUUAGAGAAAUGUCCAAAAUGGUGCA